AGACACGUAGCUCAGUUGGUUAGAGUAUCACCUUGACAUGGUGGGGGUCCCCGGUUCGAAUCCGGGCGUGUCUACCA
rnacentral:tRNA from 2 species